GAGUUUGAUCCUGGCUCAGAUUGAACGCUGGCGGCAGGCCUAACACAUGCAAGUCGAGCGGUAGCACAGGGAGCUUGCUCCCGGGUGACGAGCGGCGGACGGGUGAGUAAUGUCUGGGAAACUGCCUGAUGGAGGGGGAUAACUACUGGAAACGGUAGCUAAUACCGCAUAACGUCGCAAGACCAAAGAGGGGGACCUUCGGGCCUCUUGCCAUCAGAUGUGCCCAGAUGGGAUUAGCUAGUAGGUGGGGUAACGGCUCACCUAGGCGACGAUCCCUAGCUGGUCUGAGAGGAUGACCAGCCACACUGGAACUGAGACACGGUCCAGACUCCUACGGGAGGCAGCAGUGGGGAAUAUUGCACAAUGGGCGCAAGCCUGAUGCAGCCAUGCCGCGUGUAUGAAGAAGGCCUUCGGGUUGUAAAGUACUUUCAGCGGGGAGGAAGGUGUUGAGGUUAAUAACCUCAGCAAUUGACGUUACCCGCAGAAGAAGCACCGGCUAACUCCGUGCCAGCAGCCGCGGUAAUACGGAGGGUGCAAGCGUUAAUCGGAAUUACUGGGCGUAAAGCGCACGCAGGCGGUCUGUCAAGUCGGAUGUGAAAUCCCCGGGCUCAACCUGGGAACUGCAUUCGAAACUGGCAGGCUAGAGUCUUGUAGAGGGGGGUAGAAUUCCAGGUGUAGCGGUGAAAUGCGUAGAGAUCUGGAGGAAUACCGGUGGCGAAGGCGGCCCCCUGGACAAAGACUGACGCUCAGGUGCGAAAGCUUGGGGAGCAAACAGGAUUAGAUACCCUGGUAGUCCACGCCGUAAACGAUGUCGACUUGGAGGUUGUUCCCUUGAGGAGUGGCUUCCGGAGCUAACGCGUUAAGUCGACCGCCUGGGGAGUACGGCCGCAAGGUUAAAACUCAAAUGAAUUGACGGGGGCCCGCACAAGCGGUGGAGCAUGUGGUUUAAUUCGAUGCAACGCGAAGAACCUUACCUACUCUUGACAUCCAGAGAACUUAGCAGAGAUGCUUUGGUGCCUUCGGGAACUCUGAGACAGGUGCUGCAUGGCUGUCGUCAGCUCGUGUUGUGAAAUGUUGGGUUAAGUCCCGCAACGAGCGCAACCCUUAUCCUUUGUUGCCAGCGGUCCGGCCGGGAACUCAAAGGAGACUGCCAGUGAUAAACUGGAGGAAGGUGGGGAUGACGUCAAGUCAUCAUGGCCCUUACGAGUAGGGCUACACACGUGCUACAAUGGCGCAUACAAAGAGAAGCGACCUCGCGAGAGCAAGCGGACCUCAUAAAGUGCGUCGUAGUCCGGAUUGGAGUCUGCAACUCGACUCCAUGAAGUCGGAAUCGCUAGUAAUCGUAGAUCAGAAUGCUACGGUGAAUACGUUCCCGGGCCUUGUACACACCGCCCGUCACACCAUGGGAGUGGGUUGCAAAAGAAGUAGGUAGCUUAACCUUCGGGAGGGCGCUUACCACUUUGUGAUUCAUGACUGGGGUGAAGUCGUAACAAGGUAAC
rnacentral:rRNA from 1 species